AAGCGGGAAGAGCUCAAAUUUAAAAUCUGGCAGCCUUUGGUUGUCCGAAUUGUAAUCUAGAGAAGCGUUUUCCGCGCUGGACUGUGUACAAGUUUCCUGGAUACGGAACAUCAUAGAGGGUGAGAAUCCCGUCCUUGACACAGACUCCCAGUGCUUUGUGAUGCGCUCUCGACGAGUCGAGUUGUUUGGGAUUGCAGCUCAAAAUGGGAGGUAAAUUCCUUCUAAAGCUAAAUAUUGGCGAGAGACCGAUAGCGAACAAGUACCGUGAGGGAAAGAUGAAAAGCACUUUGGAAAGAGAGUUAAACAGUACGUGAAAUUGUUAAAAGGGAAACGCUUGAAGUCAGUCGCGUUUGCUUGGACUCAACCUCACUUCGGUUUGGUGCAUUUCCUUGUAGACGGGCCAGCGUUCAUGUUGUUUGCUGGAGAAGGGGUGAGAGAAUGUGGCUCCCUUGGGAGUGUUAUAGCUCUUGCUCGCAUGCAGGAAACGAUAUGGAGUGGUACAGCACACCUCGGUGGUGCUUGUGCUGGCAUAAUGGCUUUAAACGACCCGUCUUGAAACACGGACCAAGGAGUCUAACAUGUCUGCGAGUGUUUGGGUGGAAAACCCGGGCGCGUAAUGAAAGUGAUAGCUGGGAACCCCAUCUGGGAGGCACCGGCGCCCCGAGCUGACCUUCUGUGACGCAUCGGAGGCAGAGCAUAUAUGUUGGGACCCGAAAGAUGGUGAACUAUGCC
rnacentral:rRNA from 1 species